rnacentral:rRNA from 1 species
UACGGAGGGUGCAAGCGUUAUCCGGAUUCACUGGGUUUAAAGGGUGCGUAGGUGGGUUUGUAAGUCAGCGGUGAAAAUCUCCGGGCUUAACUCGGAAACUGCCAUUGAUACUAUAGAUCUUGAAUUUUCUGGAGGUAAGCGGAAUAUGUCAUGUAGCGGUGAAAUGCUUAGAUAUGACAUAGAACACCAAUUGCGAAAGGCAGCUUGCUACAGGAAUAUUGACACUGAGGCACGAAAGCGUGGGAUCAAAC